CUUCUUGCUUUCCUGCAUAUCCA
rnacentral:siRNA from 1 species